GUCGACCUGGCACCACAAGCAGCACCCGAUCAGGAGUUGACGCAUGGACCAGCCAUUCAGCCAGCUUCCCUCGCACAUAUUUGAGGGAAGGAGAGGAUAUAUAGUAAUUAUUACAAUGAUAAAAUCUACCUUAUAGUUUGAUCGGCUACAGUGAUGCACAUGGUAACAUAUGCUACUACAGAUAUGCAACAGAGGAGAAUAGUCACAGUUAUAGUACUCGUACAAGAGGCACACGAAUAUCGAGGGGGAAGAUUCGUAAUAACACAGUAAUAAUAAGCUUUAAAUAUCAUCCAGUUACUGUCCUUACGAUUGUGUACAUAUUACUACAGCAGAGGGCAAUGGAGAGGGCUAUGCUCGAAGUUCCCCUGAUCGAAUCAGAUAUGAGGAGAUCCGCAGGAGAACCAAAGUCUCCGACAUAGCCCACCUGGUUGCGAAACUAAAGUGGGCAGGGCACAUAGCUCGAAGGACAGAUGGCUGUUGGGGCAGUAAAGUCCUCGACUGGCGACCACGUACUGGAAGACGUAGUGUUGGAAGGCCCCUCACAAGAUGGACCGACGAUCUGGUCAAGAUAACCGGAAUUCGCUGGACGGGGGCAGCGCAGGACUGAUCGUCGUGGCAAUCUUAUCUUCUGGCUGAGAGAGUUCUGAAAUCUUGUCGUAAAUUAAACUUAGCUCGUUCAGUUUUAAGGAGGAAGGAGAGAGCCUCAGAUGAAUCUUAAUAAUGCCUUCGAGAGCUCUUCAGAAUAGCCCGUGUCAUAGACGCAUAGACAACUAUCAUACAGAAGCAAC